GCACCCAUAGCUCAGCUGGUAGAGCUGCUCCCUCUUAAGGAGAAGGUCCCAAGUUCGAAUCUUGGUGGGUGCACGA
rnacentral:tRNA from 1 species